rnacentral:rRNA from 1 species
GACAGCAGUAGCCGCGGUAAUACGAAGGGUGCAAGCGUUAAUCGGAAUUACUGGGCGUAAAGCGUGCGUAGGUGGUGGUUUAAGUCCGUUGUGAAAGCCCUGGGCUCAACCUGGGAAUUGCAGUGGAUACUGGAUCACUAGAGUGUGGUAGAGGAUAGUGGAAUUUCCGGUGUAGCAGUGAAAUGCGUAGAGAUCGGAAGGAACAUCUGUGGCGAAGGCGACUAUCUGGGCCAACACUGACACUGAGGCACGAAAGCGUGGGGAGCAAACAGGAUUAGAUACCCCUGUAGUCCCUGUCUCUUAUAC